UACGUAGGGUGCAAGCGUUAAUCGGAAUUACUGGGCGUAAAGCGUGCGCAGGCGGCUUUGCAAGACAGAUGUGAAAUCCCCGGGCUUAACCUGGGAACUGCAUUUGUGACUGCAUGGCUGGAGUGCGGCAGAGGGGGAUGGAAUUCCGCGUGUAGCAGUGAAAUGCGUAGAGAUCGGGAGGAACACCAGUGGCGAAGGCGGCUCACUGGGCCGAGCCUGACGCUGAGACGCGAAGGCGUGGGGAGCGAACGGG
rnacentral:rRNA from 1 species